CCUACGGGUGACAGCAGUAGGGAAUUUUCGUCAAUGGGCGCAAGCCUGAACGAGCAAUGCCGCGUGACCGAGGUAGGUCUUCGGAUCGUAAAGUUCUGUUGAAGGGGAAAAAGAGCGGAGAGAGGAAAUGGUCUCCGAUUGAUAUUACCCUUCGAGGAAGUCACGGCUAACUACGUGCCAGCAGCCGCGGUAAUACGUAGGUGGCGAGCGUUAUCCGGAAUGAUUGGGCGUAAAGGGUGCGUAGGCGGCCUGCUAAGUCUGGAGUGAAAGGUACCGGCUCAACCGGUACAGGCUCUGGAAACUGGCGGGCUAGAGAGCAGGAGAGGGCGGUGGAACUCCAUGUGUAGCGGUAAAAUGCGUAGAUAUAUGGAAGAACACCAGUGGCGAAGGCGGCCGCCUGGCCUGUUACUGACGCUGAGGCACGAAAGCGUGGGGAGCAAAUAGGAUUAGAUACCCGAGUAGUC
rnacentral:rRNA from 1 species